UUAAUAACUUAGUGUAAAGAUAUAGAAGGGAUUCGGAAAUUCAAAUAGUUCACUUUGUUCAACACACAACAGUUAUACACAUAUGUUAUACUCUGAAGACCUCGUAAACCUACUCGCACGCUCGCUUGUUGUCAACCGACUCUUCCAGAUGCUUCUUAACGACGGCUACAAGAGCUGCUUCAGGAGCUGCGGAUUUUAAUGCUAAAGUCUGGGAUGCAAUUAAAGGAGAAGAAAUUCAUUCGUUUCAACACAAACAUAUUGUAAAGUCUGUCAACUUCAGCAUUGAUUCUAAUUAUUUGUGCACAAGUUCUAAUGAGAAACUUGUGCGAAUUUAUGAUCUUAACAAACCAGAUGCAGCACCACAGGUAUUCUCGGGUCAUAAAAUUGGCAUCAGGCAUGUUACGUUUUUCAAUAAUGAUACUGCAUUAAUUACCUGUGGCGAUGACAAAACAUUGAGAGUUUGGGACAGAAAGAGUGGUCAAGAAGUAAGAAGGUUAGAUUUUCCAGCAAUUCCAAAUUCUAUGGAAGUGUCAAGAGAUGGGAACAUUAUUACCACAACUCACUCCAACAUAGUCACUUUUUGGAAUAGCAGAGAGUAUGUCCAUUUCUUUCUGUUUUACCAUAACGCGUACAGCAUAUCUUAAAAUAUAAAAUAAAUGAAGUCAGCAAAACAAGUUCAAGGGGAGGGAUACCCCAGUACCGGCGCAGACGUGGGUGGACAAGCGGGCUCCGCUGUGUCGUUAGCUUGUGACCGUGGCCGGAUGGGGGUGGACCACCAGGCCCCCAUUCAUGUUAUCACGACUAGUGAGGAGGAAGAAGGAGACAUUGAAAUGGAAGAGGCUCCGAUAGAAAUACAGCGAGGUGCCGGGUAUUCAACCGCCUUGCUUGGAACGUAUAUAUAAUCAACAAAUAAAGGACGCGAAAUACAGCACACUCUUCUCUUAAUACUGAACAUUUUACUAAUGAAUUAUAAAUAGCCUAUAUGCAAGUAUUAUUUACAUAUUUAAUUCGCCACAAACUGCAUACAAUUAUAUGUAAUCACAUAUAAUUAUAUAUAAUCACAUAUAAAAUAAAUACAAUUGUUUGAUGAGAUAAGCUACAAAUACCACUUCCCAGUGACAAUUAAUCUAGAACUUAUAUUUGUCACCAAAAAUUAUGAACAUUAUAAUGUAAUGUGCGCUUUCCCUUUAAUUAAAAUUAUAAUACUAUAAUAACAGAUAGACUGCACUGUUGCUCGUUGCAAAAUGAACAUCUUAAAAUAUCAACCCUGUUUCUACAUACAACUCACUAAUAUCUAUGUACAACUAUUAUGAUACACUUUAUACAUUUCUCAAGUAUGAAUUACCACUACGUUCACGAGUGCUUAGAGGAAAACAAGAUAAAUAUAAUUAAAGUAAGUACAGGCGAAAAUACUGCGGAUAUUUUUACGAAGGCACUGUGUAGAGAGAAAUUUGAAAGGUUUAGGUCAUGGAUGAAUGUAAACUAAGAGGAAUGUAAAUAAAGUAAUAAGGUUUAAAGGUUCUAUUAAGUAAUUCGACAAAUCAUGUAAAUCCGAUAAGCAG